GACGAACGCUGGCGGCGUGCCUAAUACAUGCAAGUAGAACGCUGAAGGAGGAGCUUGCUUCUCUGGAUGAGUUGCGAACGGGUGAGUAACGCGUAGGUAACCUGCCUGGUAGCGGGGGAUAACUAUUGGAAACGAUAGCUAAUACCGCAUAAGAGUAGAUGUUGCAUGACAUUUGCUUAAAAGGUGCAAUUGCAUCACUACCAGAUGGACCUGCGUUGUAUUAGCUAGUUGGUGAGGUAACGACUCACCAAGGCAACGAUACAUAGCCGACCUGAGAGGGUGAUCGGCCACACUGGGACUGAGACACGGCCCAGACUCCUACGGGAGGCAGCAGUAGGGAAUCUUCGGCAAUGGACGGAAGUCUGACCGAGCAACGCCGCGUGAGUGAAGAAGGUUUUCGGAUCGUAAAGCUCUGUUGUAAGAGAAGAACGAGUGUGAGAGUGGAAAGUUCACACUGUGACGGUAUCUUACCAGAAAGGGACGGCUAACUACGUG
rnacentral:rRNA from 1 species